GGAACGGGUGCGUAACACGUGACCAACCUCGCCCUCGGUGGUGGGGGAGUAGCCGGGCUAACGCCCGGGUAAUACCGCAUACGGUCAUCGAGAGGAGUCUUUUGGUGAAGAAAGCCCGUGGCAACACGGGUGCACGGGGAGGGGGUCGCGGCCUAUCAGCUUGUUGGCGGGGUAACGGCCCACCAAGGCGACGACGGGUAGCUGGUCUGAGAGGAUGGCCAGCCACAUUGGGACUGAGAGACGGCCCAG
rnacentral:rRNA from 1 species